CGGAAAAACACGUCUGCGUCCCCGCUCAGCUCCACACAUGCGGACAGCCAGCCCCACCCACACACCGGGAAGAGCGGGCGAGCGAGGAAGGCAGGCGAGGAAGGCAUCCAUCCUCCCCUCUCCUCCCCGCACCCCAGCGCCCGCCCCGCUCACCGGAACAAAAUAGCAGUGUAACUGAAGUACAUAACCAUGAAUUAAGAGACAUGACAUCUCUUUCCAGACUAAUCCCAUGUUGACAGAGCACCUAGCAGUGGAGAGUAAUCGAGAAUGCUACAGAGUACAACACUUCUGCCAUUCUGAAUUUGGAAGCAGUCAAGCUACGAUGUUUGCAUAAGGCUGUGUGUGAGAGAAGGAGUUCUGCCUUCUGCAUUUCGUUCUUCUGCACGGAAGCCAUGGAGGCUGAACUGCAUGAAAGUAGUCUGCAGCUGCUUGCAUGGAAAUAGCUAGUCAAGAGACAAUUUGAAAGCAAAUAUAACAAUUUUAAUUACCUGGCUCCCUGUCCAAAGCCCUAAUUAAA